GCUUCGGGGGAUGCUGUAUUUUUAAUAACGCUGGAUCCAAAUCCGAACGGACCCGGACGUGUCGUUUCCGAAAUAGAUGGUCCUCUCUCGGGUUUAUUAAUAGUCGAGCAGAUGACGCGAAUGUGCCGUUGCAUCGCUAUUAUUGUGCCAUCCUAUGGCCCCGUUUCGCCACUUGCUGGUUCACAUUGUGCUCCGGGAGAACCAUUGUCGUAGAGACGGUGUCAUGCGGGAAAAAAAUACGAAGUACUUUUGCCGUGAGCGAAAAUUAUAUAAAUCGAACUUGUAAUGCCGUAAGAGAAACGUCUAAAUGUCUCUUCAAGUAGCAUUUCUUUUUAUAUAAGGUUUAUAAAAGUACUGUAAUCUUCAAUACAGAUUAAUAUAAUUAUGAUCGCGAUGAGCGAGCGGAGCGACGAAGCCUUUUUUUGGCGUUUCGCGGAUGGUGUUCUCGGCCGCGCCGGAGCCGUGUGCGCGGAACCAGUCGCGGAGACCACCAGGAAGGAACGAGAGAAGUCGGAAUGUUGGCGCGGAGUUCGGACAUCAACCUCUCGGGCAGUCGGCCCGCCGUUCGCCACGAGCGGCCAAUCCGGCGCCCAUCGGCGAACGGUAAUUCGUGCCCGUACAUGCGUACGCGACCCACGGCUUGAACCCUUUCUCGCUCUUCAAUGAGAGAGAAAGAGAGAAAAAGAGAGACGUAUAGUAUAAUAGCUUGUACUUAAAUACCUAAAUACCAUUCUUGUACUUAAAUAAAUAGGUAUUUCUGCUGUGUCAUAAAUAGA